AUAACACCUAAAUCCACCAAAGUUAGGCCCAAUAUGUUGCAAGGAACCCAAAUUUACAUCCGGUUCUUCGACCUAGACAACCUGAACCGACCAGCAGCUGCCAAGACAUGCCGCCCUAUCGUUUUACUGGCAAAGAAGACCCCCAACACCAAGCUAGGCAAAGAAACACAAUGAAUCUCCCAACAAUAAACGCCAUAAAAAACAACUCAUUAAAACCCAAGGAGUACCACUACCACAUACGUCUUAUAUAGCUCAAGAAUCUGAAGGUCAAAGAAGAACCCCAAGCCAAAGGAAAGAAGCGCCAUCAAAGCAUCGGAUCAUCAGUGGAGGAAGAGGUGCCAUCCUUACUCACAAUCCCAUCCUCACACUAUCACAAGUCAAGGGAAGCACGCCGAUGUUUGAUUG
rnacentral:misc_RNA from 1 species